UCUUGUCUUGUGGGAAACAAUAAUUUGUUUUCGUAUUGAAAACAUUAUCACACACACACAAAAUGUGUAUGCAAUGCACUUAGUGUCUAAAUACAUAUAUAUAUACAUGUAUGUGUGUGUAUAUUACAUAUAUAAGGGCAAGUCAAAAUAUAUAUGCACUCUUGCUUUUGUAAUUUAUUAAAACAUAAGCAGAGAUUGAACAAUUACAUCAUUUUUUGGCAUAGUUUCCUUGCUUUACGACACACUUCUUCCAGCAGUCCAUAAGCUUGCUUAUUUCAUUGGAGAAGGAGGCUUAUGGUUGGUUGCACAGUCAUUUAUGCAUCACUUCCUGUGCUUCUUCAUCCAUACCAAAUUGAUGACCUCAUAAAGGAUGUUUGAGCAGUCUAACGAGAUGAUAGUCAAAAGGGGUGAAACCUGGACUGCAUACAGAGUGUUCCAGCAACUUGAAGCCCAAUUUUUCAUUGGUUUCAAUGGAGUGGGCAGCCAUAUAUAUGAAUGUGCAUUGUCAUGCUACAAUAACACUUGAUUUGACAACAGACCUCAGCAUCUGGUGUAGAUUGCUGGUUUCACUUUGUUGGUCAUCAUUUCACUGAUGACUGUAGACCUCUUUUCUGGUAUAGUCCCUUUUUCCUUUUCAAAAAAUGGUUAGCAUCACUUUUACUGCAGAAGGUUGAGUCUUGAAUUUCUUUUUCACUCACGAUUCCAGGCAUUUCUGCUCCAUACUCUGCGUUUUGGAUUCUGGCUCAAAGUGAUGGACUCAGGUCUCAUCUUCUGUGACUAUUGUUGCCAAAAAAGCUUUGCCUCCAUCGUUUACACUUAUGUGCUUCUGUAAGCUCUAUGGCACUCAUCUUGUACAGACUUUACAGAUGUGAAGCUUGUUGUGGAUGAUUUCAUAUGCAGCGGAUAUGCCACCUCACCAAUGGUCACUUGUUGGUUCACUAGAACCAUCUUUCAAGCUUGUUGAAUUUUCAUGUCAGUGUUGGAGGUUGGUGGGCAUCCUCUCAAUCCACUCAUACACAUGUCUACACAGUAGGGCAUUGUCCCCCUAUUGUACUGAAAGCCUGUGAUGUAUUUCAGCCCCUGGCACACCUUCAGACUUAAAAAAUCAGACCACUGAUCUUUGUUCUUCCUUGGUGCACACUGCCAGUGGAGCAGCCAUGAUUACUCUUUUAAUGCAAGA